UACAGAGGUCCCGAGCGUUGUUCGGAUUCACUGGGCGUAAAGGGUGCGUAGGCGGUUCUGAAAGUCUGAUGUGAAAUCUCCGGGCCCAACCCGGAAAUGGCAUUAGAAACUACAGGGCUAGAGGCUUGGAGGGGGAACUGGAAUUCUCGGCGUAGCAGUGAAAUGCGUAGAGAUCGAGAGGAACACCAGUGGCGAAGGCGAGUUCCUGGACAAGUCCUGACGCUGAGGCACGAAAGCCAGGGGAGCAAACAGG
rnacentral:rRNA from 1 species